ACUGCCCUCAGCUGUAAAAAAUCAAGCGUAGUUGAGCCCAGGAGUUCUGGGCUGUAGUGCGCUAUGUCAGUCGCCUGUCCGCACUAAGUUUGGCCUCAAUAUGGUGACCUCCUGGGAGCGGGGAACCACCAGGUUGCCUAAGGAGGGUGAACCAGCCCAUGUUGGAAACAGAGCAGGUCGAAACUCCCGUGCUGAUCAGUAGUGGGCUCGCACCUGAGAAUAGCCACUGCACUCCAGCCUGGGCAACGU
rnacentral:sRNA from 1 species